UGCCCAGAUAGCUCAGUCGGUAGAGCAGGGGAUUGAAAAUCCCCGUGUCGGCGGUUCGAUUCCGUCUCUGGGCACCAA
rnacentral:tRNA from 2 species